UUCUCCCCUCCCCCCCUGCAGCAUUUCGCUGCCCCUAGCGGGUGUCGACAUUUCCCAACCCCUGCCCCCCUGACACCCGCCAACUCUUGGUGUUUCCCAGCUUUAAUGAAGUCUCAUUUCAUUUGAUUCUUUUGCUGAUUACUAAUGAGUCUGAACACCUCUUCGUAUGCCUCCUGGCCAUCUGCAGAUCCUCUUCAGUGGCCUUGUGACUGACUGCUUGAUCCACACAGUACAAAGGAAGUGACCCUGUGACUUCUGAGGUCGGGUCAUAGAAGACCAUGCGGCUUCUGCCUCAUUUGCUGGAACAGUUGUUCACGGGGCUCUAAGAUGCCUAGGAGGAGGCCAACUACCAUGACGAGGACAUUGUGGAGGGGUCUCUGGUCAACAGCCUUCAAGCCAUCCCAGCCCAGGAACCAGACAUGGACCGCUUGAGCCAAAUGUGUCCAGAUUUCAAAGAUGGAGGCACGAGACACCUGUAGCGAUGGCGGUGAGAGCUUUCACACGGCGCCAUUUACUCUCCCUUCGGGGCUUUGAAAUUCCUGCAGGGACCUUCCCAAGGCUUGAACUUCUGGCCCCGAAUCUCAUCCUCCUCCCACGUUAGCUUCCUGGUGGCUCGCUCCGCUCCAGCCAAAGUAUCAUUUUUUUG